AAGCCAGACUCCUACGGGAGGCAGCAGUGGGGGAUAUUGCACAAUGGGGGGAACCCUGAUGCAGCGACGCCGCGUGGGUGAAGGAGCGUUUCGGCGCGUAAAGCCCUAUCGGCAGGGAAGAAGGAGGACGGUACCUGACUAAGAAGCCCCGGCUAACUACGUGCCAGCAGCCGCGGUAAUACGUAGGGGGCAAGCGUUAUCCGGAUUUACUGGGUGUAAAGGGAGCGUAGACGGCAGUGCAAGUCCGGAGUGAAAGCCCGGGGCUCAACCCUGGGACUGCUCUGGAAACUGUAAAGCUGGAGUGCGGGAGGGGCAGGCGGAAUUCCUGGUGUAGCGGUGAAAUGCGUAGAUAUCAGGAGGAACACCGGCGGCGAAGGCGGCCUGCUGGACCGUAACUGACGUUGAGGCUCGAAAGCGUGGGGAGCAAACAGGAUUAGAUACCCCAGUAG
rnacentral:rRNA from 1 species